GACAGAGGUGCCGAGCGUUAGGCGGAAUCACUGGGCUUAAAGCGUGUGUAGGCGGGCCGUUAAGUGUCUUGUGAAAUCCCCCGGCUCAACCGGGGAAUUGCUGGGCAUACUGGCGGUCUUGAGCAAUCUAGGGGCAGAUGGAACAAGUGGUGGAGCGGUGAAAUGCGUAGAGAUCGGAAAGAACACCAACGGCGAAAGCACUCUGCUGGGCCGACACUGACACUGAGAGACGAAAGCUAGGGGAGCGAAUGGG
rnacentral:rRNA from 1 species